rnacentral:rRNA from 1 species
AUGAAGAUGAGCCGACAAUGGAUGUACGAUGACCGAUGCUCUCCCCAGUUCGUUGAGGGCGUGCAUACUUUUCUGCUUGCGGCUGAGGCAAACAAGCGGGCGGAUGGUUUUAUGCCUUGUCCAUGUGCUGGCUGUAAGAAUGGUCACAAUUACUCUACGUCAAGAACCAUUCACGUCCACCUGUUUGAGUCCGGUUUCAUGCCCCACUAUAAUGUUUGGACCAAGCACGGAGAAAGAGGGGUUAUGAUGGAAGACAAUGAAGAAGAGGACGACGACAGCUAUCCUGGCCAUGGGUUCCCUGAAUACGAUGAUACAACAAUGGGGGAAGAAGCUGAGCCGGUAAUGCGGGAAGAAGCUGAGCCGACAAUGCGGGAAGAAGCUGAAGAAGAGGCAUCAAAUGAGCCUGUUGAUGAUCUAGGUCGGGCCAUUGCCGAUGCAAAGAGAAACUGCGCAAGUGAUUUGGAGAAGAAGAAGUUGCAGUGCAUGUUAGAGGAUCACAAAAAAUUGUUGUACCCGAAUUGCGUAGGUGACAAGAAAAAGCUGGGCACCACACUGGAAUUGCUGCAAUGGAAGACAGAGAAUGGUGUAUCUGAGAAGGGAUUUGAAAAGUUACUGGUAAUGAUAAAGGAUAUGCUUCCAAAGGACAACGAAUUGCCCGAGAGUAUGUACGAAGCAAAGAAGGUUGUCUGCCCUCUAGGGUUAGAGGUGCAGAAGAUACAUGCAUGCCCUAAUGAUUGCAUCCUCUACUGCGGUGAGUACGAGGAUUUGAACGCUUAUCCGGUAUGUGGUGCAUUGUGCUAUAAGAUCAGCCGCGAUGACCCUGGUGAUGUCGAGGGCGAGCGCCCCAGGAAGAAAAUUCCUGCCAAGGUGAUGUGGUAUGCUCCUAUAAUACCACGGUUGAAACGUUUGUUCCAAAACAAAGAGCAUGCCAAGGCGAUGCGAUGGCACAGAGAAGACCGUAAGAAAGAC